AGUGAACGCUGGCGGUAGGCCUAACACAUGCAAGUCGAACGGCAGCACAGGAGAGCUUGCUCUCUGGGUGGCGAGUGGCGGACGGGUGAGGAAUACAUCGGAAUCUACUCUGUCGUGGGGGAUAACGUAGGGAAACUUACGCUAAUACCGCAUACGACCUACGGGUGAAAGCAGGGGAUCUUCGGACCUUGCGCGAUUGAAUGAGCCGAUGUCGGAUUAGCUAGUUGGCGGGGUAAAGGCCCACCAAGGCGACGAUCCGUAGCUGGUCUGAGAGGAUGAUCAGCCACACUGGAACUGAGACACGGUCCAGACUCCUACGGGAGGCAGCAGUGGGGAAUAUUGGACAAUGGGCGUAAGCCUGAUCCAGCCAUACCGCGUGGGUGAAGAAGGCCUUCGGGUUGUAAAGCCCUUUUGUUGGGAAAGAAAUCCAGCUGGCUAAUACCCGGUUGGGAUGACGGUACCCAAAGAAUAAGCACCGGCUAACUUCGUGCCAGCAGCCGCCAUAA
rnacentral:rRNA from 1 species